ensembl:lncRNA
GGUCAAUCGUGGAUCAGGGAAAGCGAAGGCAGGAGCGUGAGGUGAACUGAAUUUCAGGGACUGGGACUUCCUGGAAUCACUAAGAGGAGGGACGUAUCACAGAGAAGGUGCCUGGCUUUCUACGGGUUUUAAACCAAACUGAAAACCCCUCCGUCUCUAGCUUCAUGUCUGCCAGUUAAAAGAAGAAAUAACAACAGGAGAAGAUGAUCUGCAGGAUCCUGCUGCUCAUCAUCCUCCCCUCAUGUGUCUGUGGAUCAUUUGUAGUCAAUGUGACACAGACCUCCUAUCAGGCAGAGGAGAACCACAACAUCACACUGGAGUGGACGUUCACCACCAAACCUGACAGAUCCAACAAAACCCUCAACAUCUUUUGUGAAGUCUUCAUCAGUGAUAACGUCUCAGUCCUGUAUCAUGUUCAUGAAGGUGUUGAGGUGUCAGAGUCUCAGGAUGCAAAGUUUUCAGGACGAGUCCAGAGUGACAAAGACGCCCUCAGAGAAGGACGAAUCAGACUUCAACUGUCCAGACUCAGGACUGAUGACUCGGGUCUGUACCUGUGUGAGGUCAACACUGAUUAUGGCUUCAGUGUUGGAAGAUGUCGACUCAACGUCACUGGGAGAAGAUGAUCUGCAGGAUCCUGCUGCUCAUCAUCCUCACCUCAUGUGUCUCUGGAUCAUUUGUAGUCAAUGUGACACAGACCUCCUAUCAGGCAGAGGAGAACCACCUCUGCAGCUCACACCUCACUGAUGGCUGAACAACUACAAACCAACACAAACAUUUAAUCAGCUACAACCACUGUAAUAGAAGCAACCAUAAAGAAAACCCCACACUUUAAUUUACUCUGAACAUAUUUCACAUUUUAAAAUGUUCACAGGUGAAGAAAUGUUCUAUUUUUGUCACAUGG